GUGCUUGCUUUGGCAGCACGUAUACUAAAACUGGAAUGAUACAGAGACAAUUAGCAUGGUCCCUGCACAAGGAUGACAUGCAAAUUCAUUAAGUGUUCCAUAUUUUU